UACGAAGGGGGCUAGCGUUGCUCGGAAUCACUGGGCGUAAAGGGUGCGUAGGCGGGUCUUUAAGUCAGGGGUGAAAUCCUGGAGCUCAACUCCAGAACUGCCUUUGAUACUGUAGAUCUUGAGUUCGGGAGAGGUGAGUGGAACUGCGAGUGUAGAGGUGAAAUUCGUAGAUAUUGGGAAGAACACCGGUGGCGAAGGCGGCUCACUGGCUCAUAUCUGACGCUCAGGCGCGGCAGCGUGGGGAUCAAACAGG
rnacentral:rRNA from 1 species